AGUAAAGAGAGGUUCCACACUCCCUUAAGUCUUGUCCCUUGAUAUUCUAAAAUACCCAGAUUACCCCUCCAACGGACUGCCUCCUCACAUGGUACCGGAUCGGGCGGCCAUUCCGGAAAUCGAUACGAUACUAGUUAUACAAUGACGAGGAAGCGUAAGUGAACGAGGCCACGGCGUUUCCCGGCGUUCCCGCCGAGGAAAGAGAGAGUUAGAGAGAAGAGAGAAUGAGAUGGGAGAUACCAUUCGCCGGAUAUCCGGUUGCAGCGAUCAUUGCAACCUUCUCAGGCGGAGUAUUGGGAAAAAGGAGAACCAGAGAAGAAAGAGGGAGAGUUGCUGAGGAUUUGCUUUUAAUGUGUCUCUGAAGAGACACCUUAAAAUUAAAGGUCGAAAGAAGAGCAGAAACUUAGAGCAACGGACCUCACAAUUUCCUCUUCUUCUUCUUCUUUUGUUCAGAGCACUUUGCUUAGUCUUGAAGAAUCAUUGUAGGUUGUAGAGGAAGCAAUCUAAUUUCAGCUCAUUAUAGGGAAAUGGCCAUAAAUGGGCAAGUUUGUGCAGAAAUGAACGAACAGUCACUGACUGGAAGAUUAAAUGACAGGUCUUUAGUUAAUUUUAAACAUAACAGAAUUGAUCACCAGGAACUCAAGGUGGAUUUCCCUGGGUGGAGUUUCUAUUGACGCUGGAAUCAUGGCAUUUUAGUGGUGGGAAAAAAGGUAUUAAUUUCCAUUGAAGAGAAGUCCUGGGAAUGAGAACUAAUUAAGAUUCUUUUGGAAAGGUGCAAGUCAUUUCACUAGCUGACAUUCAGAAUGUGUAAAGGGUAAAGUGAUGCAGUUGAUGACCAGUCGGGCUUUGGGGAGGUGUACAUUCUGGCGGUUCAAUGCUUCAGAUUUCUACAUCUAGUUUGAGAUUCGUUUGUGGUUGGGGGCUUUGAGUUAGUUCUUUCGUUUUUUUAUCUGUUGGGACUCAUGAACUCUCUCAUUGUCUCCUUCUGUUUAAUGGAGUCCUUUGUUCUGUUUAGUAGGGAAUAUUGGUUCUUGAUUUCUUAUAGCCCUUGGAAGAACAUAGCUCUUGAUAAGAAAGUUGUUUCACAUUUGUAUGUUUAUAGACAUGGACUGUUUAACUGAAACUUGUUAGAACACGAUUUUUGGGGGUUUGAAUGAUUUGAUCAUUUUUAGAAA